rnacentral:lncRNA from 1 species
CUUACACCUCUAUUGGGACUUACACACCCUGGGAGGUAUGGCAGGGUGAUCUUCCUCUCCCCACCCAGGGACAGUAUUUUGCUCCAGGCUGAGGGGAUCCUGCAGACCCACUGAGCCUUGCGUGAAAUGAGGUUGUCAAAAAUUGCAGGCGAGGCAUGUGGCCUCCAGGUGACUGAAGUCUCAGGGACAAAUAUUUGUGGAGCAUGUAAUGCCUCUCGGUAUGGAGCUGUUUCUAAUUGUAAGGUGCUUGAAUACAAGAAUUCAAGAUGGGCAGAUUGACUGUUCACCAACUAGUCUGAAAGGUGGUCAGAGGCUGAGAAGUGAAACUAAGGGUCAGCCAGAGCUGGCUGUUCAAUUUUUGUACUCCCGAAGGCUUGCUGUCCUCUGAAUGGACCAAGAAGUCUGUUUAAAAUUAUAGAAAAAAUAUGCAGGUCUCCUGAACAAUAAGGUUAAAAAAGAGACAUAUGGUGAGAUAGAAACUCUGAAUAAUUCCACUCAAAACUUAAAGUCAGUUUAAAUUGAAAAUGCUUCAAACACCUACAUGCUAAUAAUGAACAGAAAGAAAGAGAAAACAGUCCAUUGAAACUCAAACGUCAGCCUCCACAUGGGAGAAAGUUCCUCACCUGACUGAAUCUGUGAGCCUAAGACCUGCCUCAUCGACGCCUUUGAAGAACAACACACAUUCUUCACGGAGAAACCCUUAUCUGUAAAGAAACAUUGGCACAGUGUCGAAUGUUGUUAUGUUAAACGUAACAUUGUGUUAAAACCCAUUAAUGGAGAAAAAACAUGCUUUUCUGUCAGGGAAGUAUGUGAACUCUCUGCUUCCCAUGUGAAACUCUGGUGGUGGAUAUUGGGAAGGAACAGUCCUCACUCUGAGCACUGUGUCUCCCCCAUCCAGCCUCCCCUCUGCCCCUUGCCCACACACACAAACACAACAUUCUUAAUAGUAGAGGGAAUUCAGCAUUCACCUAGUUUAAAAAAUACAGUUGUCAACAGGAAGCUGGAGGAAAACAUUCAUGAAGAAAAAAAAAAACUCUCCUUCCACCUAACCCCCACCCCCAUCCCACCUGCCCCCCACAAUGAGGGAUUAAAGCUUCUGUCUUUGGGACUUUUAUGGUUUCAGAUCAUUCAACUUGGUCCUGAGCUCUCCGAAAAAUUGUUCUAACUACCCAAUCUGCUCUAUGGGAAAAUAAAAUUUCUCUCAUCACUUCUUAGUUAUGUGACUUCAGGCAACUAACUCGCAGCUCUUUGUAACUCAUUUCAUCACCUGUAAAACAAGGAUAGAAAGAGUAUCGAAUUUAUGGGUUUGUUGCGGUAAGUAAAUGUACUUAUAUAAUUAAAUUGAUGGGAAAAGUAGCUGGCACAUGAAGUCUUCUAUAAAUAAGAACAUACGGGCAAAUCUAGUAGACAAUUCUUUCCAGG